rnacentral:rRNA from 1 species
UACAGAGGGGGCAAGCGUUGUUCGGAAUUACUGGGCGUAAAGCGCGCGUAGGCGGCUUUGUAAGUUAGAGGUGAAAGCCCGGAGCUCAACUCCGGAACUGCCUUUAAGACUGCAUCGCUAGAAUUGUGGAGAGGUGAGUGGAAUUCCGAGUGUAGAGGUGAAAUUCGUAGAUAUUCGGAAGAACACCAGUGGCGAAGGCGACUCACUGGACACAUAUUGACGCUGAGGUGCGAAAGCGUGGGGAGCAACCAGG